UACGGAGGAUCCAAGCGUUAUCCGGAAUCAUUGGGUUUAAAGGGUCCGUAGGUGGUUUAUUAAGUCAGAGGUGAAAUCCUAUCGCUUAACGAUAGAACUGCCUUUGAUACUGAUAGACUUGAGUUAUUGUGAAGUAGUUAGAAUGUGUAGUGUAGCGGUGAAAUGCAUAGAUAUUACACAGAAUACCAAUUGCGAAGGCAGAUUACUAACAAUAUACUGACGCUGAGGGACGAAAGCGUGGGUAGCGAACAGG
rnacentral:rRNA from 1 species